UCUGUCCCUGUGUGGGGGACAACCCGGGGAAACUCGGGCUAAUACCGCAUAGGCAGGCACUUCUUCUGAAGAGCCUGGGAAAGAGGCCCUCUUUACAAUGGUCUCAUGCAGGGAGGAGCUCGCGGGCUAUCAGCUUGUUGGUGGGGUAACGGCCUACCAAGGCGACGACGGCUAGCUGGUCUGAGAGGACGACCAGCCACACUGGGACUGAGACACGGCCCAG
rnacentral:rRNA from 1 species